CCUACGGGUGGCAGCAGUGAGGAAUAUUGGUCAAUGGGCGCGAGCCUGAACCAGCCAAGUCGCGUGAGGGAAGACGGUCCUAUGGAUUGUAAACCUCUUUUGUCGGGGAGCAAAAGACGCCACGCGUGGCGUUCCGAGAGUACCCGGAGAAAAAGCAUCGGCUAACUCCGUGCCAGCAGCCGCGGUAAUACGGAGGAUGCGAGCGUUAUCCGGAUUUAUUGGGUUUAAAGGGUGCGUAGGCGGAAGAUCAAGUCAGCGGUAAAAUUGAGAGGCUCAACCUCUUCGAGCAGUUGAAACUGGUUGUCUUGAGUUGGAGAGAAGUAGGCGGAAUUCGUGGUGUAGCGGUGAAAUGCAUAGAUAUCGCGAAGAACCCCGAUUGCGAAGGCAGCAUGCCGG
rnacentral:rRNA from 1 species